rnacentral:lncRNA from 1 species
GUGGCUUCCUGUUUGAAGGGCUCUCCGAUGAGGAGGAUGACUUUCACCCAGUAAGUGGCCCGGCUGCGUGCCAGUUGGGGGAGAUGGUGCCGGGGAUGCAGCCCUCCCUGGGACCCGGCAUGCCCCCUCAGGGAGGUGGUCCGAGGCCCUUUGGUGGCCCAGCUGUGUCCUGCUCUUGCUUUCUGAACCUGGCGGCUUGGGGAGUGUCCCCAAGAACGGUUCCUGGAACGGGCUGGGGUUCAUCUGGGCUGUCCCAGGGCUGCUCCCUGAUCUGGGUGCCUCCCUUGUCCAGAGUGCCAGGUCCACGCCCUCGAGCAGCACGUCCAGCUCCCGCCCAGCUUCCCUGGGGUACAGUGGAGCCGCCGGACCCCGGCCCAUCACUCAGAGCGAGCUGGCCACGGCCCUGGCCCUGGCCAGCACUCCGGAGAGCAGCUCUCACACGCCAACUCCUGGCACCCAGGGCCAUUCCUCUGGGACCUCCCCAAUGUCCUCAGGCGUCCAGUCAGGGACGCCCAUCACCAACGAUCUGUUCAGCCAAGCCCUACAGCAUGCGCUGCAGGCCUCCGGGCAGCCCAGCCUUCAGCUUCAUCUUCAAGACUCUCGUCCAGAUGCCUCAUCUGCAAAACCCACCAGCUUAA